GAUGAACGCUAGCUACAGGCUUAACACAUGCAAGUCGAGGGGAAACGCUGAGAGAGCUUGCUCUCUUAGGCGUCGACCGGCGCACGGGUGAGUAACGCGUAUCCAACCUACCCAUUACAGGGGGAUAACCUUGCGAAAGUAAGACUAAUACCCCAUGGCAUUUUAUGGUGGCAUCAUUAUAGGAUUAAAGAUUUAUUGGUAAUGGAUGGGGAUGCGUUUGAUUGGGUUGUUGGCGGGGUAACGGCCCACCAAGGCAAGGAUCAGUAGGGGUUCGGAGAGGAAGGUCCCCCACAUUGGAACCGAGACACGGUCCAAACUCCUACGGGAGGCAGCAGUGAGGAAUAUUGGUCAAUGGGCGAGAGCUUGAACCAGCCAAGUAGCGUGCAGGAUGACGGCCCUAUGGGUUGUAAACUGCUUUUAUAGGGGAAUAAAGUGAGCUACGUGUAGUUUAUUGCAUGUACCCUAUGAAUAAGGACCGGCUAAUUCCGUG
rnacentral:rRNA from 1 species